rnacentral:lncRNA from 1 species
AUGUGAAAGAAUGUAAAAGAACUCACUUUUAGCAAUGGGAUGGUAACUUAGAAAGAUCACUCAAACGGGUCAUUCAGUUUUCUUCCACCGUUCACUUUGCUCAUGGUACAUCUCAUGAAGCCAAUUUAACGAGUGACUAUUGGUUGGAUUAGAUCCAUUGCUUCGCUGGUGGACCAACCCAACCGUACGAUAAUAUAUCCUAAGAUGUGUAAUGUAAUCGAAAAAGAGCGCAGCACACGUGCUUCCAUGCUUGUUCUUCGUGGCUAAACUGAUCUACCAACUCAAAGGUGGAUCUGGUUCUAUU